rnacentral:rRNA from 1 species
CCUACGGGUGGCAGCAGUGAGGAAUAUUGGUCAAUGGACGCAAGUCUGAACCAGCCAUGCCGCGUGCAGGAUGACGGCUCUAUGAGUUGUAAACUGCUUUUGUACGAGGGUAAACCCCGAUACGUGUAUCGUGUUGAAAGUAUCGUACGAAUAAGGAUCGGCUAACUCCGUGCCAGCAGCCGCGGUAAUACGGAGGAUCCGAGCGUUAUCCGGAUUUAUUGGGUUUAAAGGGUGCGUAGGCGGUUUGAUAAGUUAGAGGUGAAAUGUCGGGGCUCAACCCCGAAACUGCCUCUAAUACUGUUGGACUAGAGAAUAGUUGCGGGAGGCGGAAUGUAUGGUGUAGCGGUGAAAUGCUUAGAGAUCAUACAGAACACCGAUGGCGAAGGCAGCCUACCAAACUAUAUCUGACGUUGAGGUACGAAAGCGUGGGUAGCAAACAGGAUUAGAUACCCCUGUAGUC